rnacentral:tRNA from 1 species
GGUCUGUUGGUCAAGGGGUUAAGACGCCGCCCUCUCACGGCGGAAACACGGGUUCGAUUCCCGUACAGACUG